CCAUAUUAUAUUUUAAUGUAGACUAAAUAAAAGUUUUGAUUGAAUAAGAAUUUCUGGUAUUUAAACGAUCUCUCUUGCUUAAUGGAUUGACAGAAAGUGUGUUAACAUAUUUAAAAGGCAAACAAAAUUAAAUUAUGUUUCACAAAAGACAAUCAAAUGAAUAACAUCAAGUAUCAUCGAGUUAACAGAAGAUAAGUUCUCGGCUGAAACGACUGCAAUCGGCUGCCUUGAAGAAUAGAUCUAGAUGAAAUUGGAGAAUCCGAUUGAGAAGUUUGUUGAAGGUCGGAAGAUUGAUCUGAGGAAAUAAACUGAGGUUCGUUGUGAUCAGCAACCAGAAAAGCAGAUCUUGAAAUAACUGGAAAGGGACCUCGAUAAGGUGGCUCAAGAGGACGUCUAUCAGGAUCUACCCUAACAAAAACAAAAAUCUGUGGAGGAAAAGCAUCCAAAUCAUUGUGAAGAAAUUCUGCAGGCGAUGCUUUAAAAUCUUCUUUCAAAGCUGUUCGUAAUCCAAGAAGAACUGUUGGAAGUACAUCAAUCCAAUUCUUAUUUCCAUGACACAUUAAAGCUAUUUUUAAAGAACGAUGCCAACGUUCCAGGAUUCCAUUAGUUUGCGGGUGGUAAACAGUUGAUCGUGUCUUCUUGCAACCAACUAAAUUUGUCAAAGCCUUGAAAAAUGAUGCUUCAAAUUGACUUCCCUGAUCAGUAGUAACCAUUUUAGGAGUUCCAAAGCGACAAAUCCAAUUUCGAUAGAAUUCAGUGGCAACAGAAUCCGCAGUUGCUUCCUUUAAGGGAAUUGCUUCUGGCUAACGUGAAUAUCUAUCAAUCAUUGUUAAAAUAUAGCGAAAAUCCUCAGAUGGAGGAAGUGGACCAACUAAAUCCAAAUGAAUGUGAUGAAAUCUUUCAUCUGGAAUUGGAAAGAUUGUUGGCCUACGUUUUGUGUGCUUAUUGAUUUUAGAAAGUUGACAAGGUAAACAAGUCUUGAUACGAUCAAUAAUAUACUUUUUCAUAUGAGGCUAAACAAAUUUUUCUUUGAUUAAUUGACUAGUUGCUUUAACGCCUGGAUGAGACAAAUUAUGUACAAAAUUAAAAAUCUUUGAACGUAAAGAAGCAGGAACAUAUGGCCUAACA